GCCAGUACUAGGGUAUUUGCAUAAGGCGAUCUGACUGGCUGACACUUGCGUUGACGCUUGAAAAGUUGAGAAUUUUUGGCUUGUUUGAGAUGCAUCGGAGGAUCAUUAUCACAAAAUCAUUAGCUCUUCCUAUAUUGGAGUGGAAGGUGGUGCCAGUUGGGUUGUUCGCUUUGUGUGUAGAUUCAUUCAGCGUUUGCAGAAGGCUAGCAUUCCAAGCAGAGGGAGGUGGUCCAAGAUGGCGCCCUGAGCACAGGUGUGUUUGUGAACUCGGCAAUCCCAACAUUGUUUUAGUUGUAACGAACCUUGAGAGGAUCUAUUGAGAAAUUAUCUGUCUGGAUGCCCUGAAUUUUGUGAACAAGAACAAUGGGAGGAUCUGAAAAGAGAAAAAGCGCAAAGAAGUCGAGGUAAACAGUGUCGGAUGCUUUGGCUAGCUCUGUUAGCAAAAUUUAUGGAAACUUACAAGCAGCGGGAUGUCAAGAUAAUACUUCUGCAGCUGGGGUGUUGAAGGAUAAUCUGCACGAUUAUCUCAAACAAAUGACGACUCUGAGAUUAUGGUGGUGGAGGAGGUACUUCCUCCGCUUCCUGAUACUCCGUGUAUAAUGCUGCCUUCACGUGAUCUCUGAAUUAUCAUAAAUACUAGUUUCCUAGUUUCCUAUAAAUGUGAGUUACUCCCGAUUAAAAAACUACAUCCCCUAUCUGUAAUAUUCCUGUUAAAGAGAGUGUUACUAUCAUGAUCCCAAUGUUGUGCCUGUUUUGUAUGGACUUUUAUGUUGAAGGGUUUUAUGUUCCUAUUGUUUCUUCAUUCCUGUGUCCUGUUCCUGUUGUAGUUUUCCCUGCUGAUUAGUCUUCCCCAGGUGUGUUACUUGUUAUCUUGUUUGUCCCUGUAAUAUCCCCUGUGUUUUACUUGUUCUCUGUCAGUUAUUAGAUUUUUGCUGCUCCUUGUGGUCCUUGUUUCCCAGUGUUAUGUUGUUCAUUAUUGUUUGUUUGUUUGUUUUAUUAAACUCCACUGCACUUGGAUCCUCA